rnacentral:rRNA from 1 species
GGAUAACAGUUGGAAACGACUGCUAAUACCGCAUAAGCGCACGGUACCGCAUGGUACCGUGUGAAAAACUCUGGUGGUAUGAGAUGGACCCGCGUCUGAUUAGCUAGUUGGUGGGGUAACAGCCUACCAAGGCGACGAUCAGUAGCCGACCUGAGAGGGUGACCGGCCACAUUGGGACUGAGACACGGCCCAAACUCCUACGGGAGGCAGCAGUGGGGAAUAUUGCACAAUGGGGGAAACCCUGAUGCAGCGACGCCGCGUGAGCGAAGAAGUAUUUCGGUAUGUAAAGCUCUAUCAGCAGGGAAGAAAAAAAUGACGGUACCUGACUAAGAAGCACCGGCUAAAUACGUGCCAGCAGCCGCGGUAAUACGUAUGGUGCAAGCGUUAUCCGGAUUUACUGGGUGUAAAGGGAGCGCAGGCGGUGCGGCAAGUCUGAUGUGAAAGCCCGGGGCUCAACCCCGGUACUGCAUUGGAAACUGUCGUACUAGAGUGUCGGAGGGGUAAGUGGAAUUCCUAGUGUAGCGGUGAAAUGCGUAGAUAUUAGGAGGAACACCAGUGGCGAAGGCGGCUUACUGGACGAUAACUGACGCUGAGGCUCGAAAGCGUGGGGAGCAAACAGGAUUAGAUACCCUGGUAGUCCACGCUGUAAACGAUGAAUACUAGGUGUUGGAGAGCAUUGCUCUUCGGUGCCGCAG